rnacentral:rRNA from 1 species
AACGAACGCUGGCGGCAGGCUUAACACAUGCAAGUCGAACGAGAUCUUCGGAUCUAGUGGCAGACGGGUGAGGAACACGUGGGAACAUCCCUUUCAGUUCGGAAUAACGUUGGGAAACUAACGCUAAUACCGGAUACGUCCUUCGGGAGAAAGAUUUAUCGCUGAAAGAUUGGCCCGCGUCUGAUUAGCUAGUUGGUGACGUAACGGCUCACCAAGGCUACGAUCAGUAGCUGAUCUGAGAGGAUGAUCAGCCACAUUGGGACUGAGACACGGCCCAAACUCCUACGGGAGGCAGCAGUGGGGAAUAUUGGACAAUGGGCGCAAGCCUGAUCCAGCCAUGCCGCGUGAGUGAUGACGGCCUUCGGGUUGUAAAGCUCUUUUGUCCGGGAAGAUAAUGACUGUACCGGAAGAAUAAGCCCCGGCAAACUUCGUGCCAGCAGCCGCCGUAAAAC